rnacentral:tRNA from 1 species
AGGCUUUUAGCUCAGGUGGUUAGAGCGCACCCCUGAUAAGGGUGAGGUCGGUGGUUCAAGUCCACUCAGGCCUACCA